UACAUUUGCACGGAAAACACAGUAUAUAUUCCAGUAAAGGGUUAUAUUUAGGCAAGAAAUAUAGAGAUUGAUGCUGUUAGGUUUCGUGCAACAACUUCCCAAGCGAUGUCACCUCUGAAUACAGUAUCAUGAUGCACUACAUGGUUUCAGGAAGGAAGAUGUUUUAGAGAGAGAUAAUUCCCAAAACAAUGUGAGAUUACAGAUUAUGGAAGAUUGCUGGGCAUUAUGACAAACAAAGGUAUCAAGGAGGAAUAUGAACAAUGUAGGUCAGCAGUCAAAAUCUCUCACCUUAUUCAACUCUUAACAGCAUGUUCCUAUGGAUCCAGAUGCAUUAAAAGAUUUCUAUU